UGGGGAAUAUUGCACAAUGGGCGCAAGCCUGAUGCAGCCAUGCCGCGUGUAUGAAGAAGGCCUUCGGGUUGUAAAGUACUUUCAGUCGGGAGGAAGGUGGUAAGGUUAAUAACCUUAUCAAUUGACGUUACCGACAGAAGAAGCACCGGCUAACUCCGUGCCAGCAGCCGCGGUAAUACGGAGGGUGCAAGCGUUAAUCGGAAUUACUGGGCGUAAAGCGCACGCAGGCGGUUGAUUGAGUCAGAUGUGAAAUCCCCGGGCUUAACCCGGGAAUUGCAUCUGGUACUGGCAAGCUUGAGUCUCGUAGAGGGGGGUAGAAUUCCAGGUGUAGCGGUGAAAUGCGUAGAGAUCUGGAGGAAUACCGGUGGCGAAGGCGGCCCCCUGGACGGAGACUGACGCUCAGGUGCGAAAGCGUGGGGAGCAAACAGG
rnacentral:rRNA from 1 species